UACGGAAGGCAGCAGUGGGGAAUAUUGCACAAUGGGCGCAAGCCUGAUGCAGCCAUGCCGCGUGUAUGAAGAAGGCCUUCGGGUUGUAAAGUACUUUCAGUCGUGAGGAAGGUGUUAAGGUUAAUAACCUUAGCAAUUGACGUUAGCGACAGAAGAAGCACCGGCUAACUCCGUGCCAGCAGCCGCGGUAAUACGGAGGGUGCGAGCGUUAAUCGGAAUUACUGGGCGUAAAGGGCACGCAGGCGGUUAAUUAAGUUGGAUGUGAAAUCCCCGGGCUUAACCUGGGAAUGGCAUUCAAGACUGGUUAGCUAGAGUCUUGUAGAGGGGGUAGAAUUCCAUGUGUAGCGGUGAAAUGCGUAGAGAUGUGGAGGAAUACCGGUGGCGAAGGCGGCCCCUGGGACAAAGGACUGACGCUCAUGUGCGAAAGCGUGGGGAGCAAACGAGGGAUUAGAUA
rnacentral:rRNA from 1 species